GGGGGAAUAUUGCACAAUGGGGGAAACCCUGAUGCAGCGACGCCGCGUGAACGAAGAAGGUAUUCGUAUCGUAAAGUUCUGUCCUAUGGGAAGAUAAUGACAGUACCAUAGAAGAAAGCUCCGGCUAAAUACGUGCCAGCAGCCGCGGUAAUACGUAUGGAGCGAGCGUUGUCCGGAAUUAUUGGGCGUAAAGGGUACGCAGGCGGUUUAAUAAGUCGAAUGUUAAAGAUCGGGGCUCAACCCAGCAAAGCAUUGGAAACUUAUUAACUUGAGUAGUGGAGAGGAAAGUGGAAUUCCUAGUGUAGUGGUGAAAUACGUAGAUAAUAGGGGGAAUACCAGUAGCGAAGGCGACUUGCUGGACACAAACUGACGCUGAGGUAAGAAAGCGUGGGGAGCAAACAGG
rnacentral:rRNA from 1 species